GCGGCGAGGCCUCGCUUCCUCCCUCAGCGCCAUUUUGUGGCGGCGAGACCCGCAAAUAAAGGGGAGCGUGGGGGGCCGCCGCUACCGUGAUCGGGUGGCCUCGGCGGCGAUCGGGCAGCGUGGCCUCGGCCUAUGUGACUAGGCGGCGCCGGCGCGACCUCCGUCUGGAGAGGAUUCAAGAUGACCAACGAGGAACCUCUUCCCAAAAAGGUUCGACUGAGUGAGACAGACUUCAAAGUUAUGGCACGAGAUGAGUUAAUUUUAAGAUGGAAGCAGUACGAAGCAUACGUGCAAGCUCUGGAGGGCAAGUACACAGACCUGAACUCUAAUGAUGUAACUGGCUUAAGGGAGUCAGAAGAAAAACUGAAGCAGCAGCAGCAGGAGUCUGCACGCAGGGAAAACAUUCUUGUCAUGCGACUAGCAACCAAGGAGCAGGAGAUGCAAGAGUGUACUACUCAGAUCCAGUACCUCAAGCAAGUCCAGCAGCCCAGUGUUGCCCAACUGAGAUCAACAAUGGUGGACCCCGCAAUCAACUUGUUUUUCCUAAAAAUGAAAGGUGAACUGGAACAGACUAAAGACAAACUGGAACAAGCCCAAAAUGAACUGAGUGCCUGGAAGUUUACGCCUGAUAGAGGCCUGACGGCGUCGGACUAAUCCGAAGAAGCGGCCGCCUCCGAAAGCCCCCUUCUAGAACAUGUAGACACUUGAGAAAUGUUUCUGUUUGAAGAAAAUAGAGGGAGAAACAGAAGUCUUAAGUCUGUGGCACACUGUGUCUUCAGACAGUUUGGAGGAAUGAAAACCUAGAGAUUUAAAAUCAUGAAUUGAACAUGUAAAAUUCCAGUAAAAUGCAAAAAUGGAAUGUGCAUCGCUCUUAACCCUGAGCACAGUGACUUAGAGACACUGUAUGUCAGUUUUGCCAAUAAGACUGUGGACUUCGUGAUGUUGUUGAACUGCUUGGUCAAAACUCAAAUGAGGUGAAUUUUGCCUUUAAAGGGUUUAUUUGCUAAGAAACAACUUAAUAAUUAUAAGAGAAUCGAAUAAUAGAUACCAGUGCAAGUAGUUCAUAUACGUAACCAUUUAGUCUGGGGCUCUGUAUUACUUGCAGGAGCCUUAAAUCAAUGUGGUUCUAAUCAAUGGUUUGUUCUUUGAAUGGUUGCUAAUCCUGUACACAACCUCACUGAGGACUGUACAAACGUGAAGGUGUGGUAUCAAGCUCCAGGUUUAAACUGCUUGAAGCAUUAUAAACAUUCAUUUCACAACCAGACUGUAUAAGGACAUUGGCUGUGAUGAGACUCACCGCGUGCUUUUCCUAGUAGUGAAAUCGCUCAAACCCCCAUUCCAUUCGGCAGGCACGUGUUGAAAGAGCAUUGUCACUGGUGUUCGUGGGGGAGUGUGUUCCUUCAUUGUAUUUGGGCCUUUUGUAUCGCACUCUUGAUAUAAAUUAAAUGUGCCUCGAAAUAGUUGGUUUUUAAGUUCAAGGAAUAUGAUGAUGAUUUUGUUGUACUUUUAACAUUUUGAUUUGGGGGGCGCUGUGGAGAGCAGAUUGAUUUUGGACAAAUUGUUGCCGUGCUCUUCAAAGGAAAGGAAAAGGCUGUGCCUCUGUUUUCCAGCUGGCAUCAUAAAAGACAAGGAGACUUGACACUUGUUACUUUUUGACGCCUUGUCCCGGGAUAUUGAAGUAGAAAUUAAAGUGGGACAGCUCCACAGGGUGCCUGCCAGAAGACUGGGGAAAUUAUGUAUUGGAACUGUGGGCUGGCCUAAGGGAGACCUUUUGUGACUUGAAAAAAAAAAGGUAUAGUGAUCAUUUCUAGCAAACUCAUUUGAUCAUUUAGAUAAAUGAGGCAUUUUCUUCAUGCUUCCAUCCAGUCCUGGAGGUGAAUUUUUUUCUUCAGAUCAUUCUAUAAGUCACCAAUUCGAAUUUUCUCUUGGUGAUAAUGGAAGUCUAAGAUGAGUGGAAGAUAAAUGUUCCAGAUUGUCCCAACGUUUAAGUGCAGUUUUAACAAGGGUGACUUAAGUUCUCUCUUAAUCAUUCCAGUCAAUUCCAAACAGGCAAAAAGUUAAUGGCGAAGUGUCGGAUGCUUAUCCAAGAGAAUCAAGAGCUGGGAAGGCAGCUGUCCCAGGGACGUAUUGCACAACUUGAAGCAGAGUUGGCUUUACAGAAGAAAUAUAGUGAGGAGCUUAAAAGCAGUCAGGAUGAACUGAAUGACUUCAUCAUCCAGCUUGACGAGGAAGUCGAGGGCAUGCAGAGCACCAUUCUGGUUCUCCAGCAGCAACUGAAGGAGACGCGCCAGCAGUUGGCUCAGUACCAGCAGCAGCAGUCGCAAGCCCCGGCCCCGAGCACCAGCAGGACUACCCCUCCCGAGCCUGUGGGGCAGGCGGAGGCCCCGGCUAAAGACUGCAGCCGGCUGGCCAACGGACCAAGUAACGGCAGCUCCUCCCGCCAGAGGACGUCUGGGUCUGGAUUUCACAGGGAGGGGGACGCAGCUGAAGAUGGCUUUCCUGCUUCUCCGGGGAGCGGUAAUAAGGCGUCCGACAGCUCAGAGGAGAGAACUGGCAGAGGAGGUGGUAGUUACGUAAACCAGCUCAGUGCGGGGUAUGAAAGUGUAGACUCCCCCACGGGCAGCGAAAACUCGCUCACACACCGCUCGAAUGACACAGACUCCAACCCUGACCCGCAGGAGGAGAAAGCGGUGAGCGGGAAAGGUGACCGAACUGCGGGCUCCCGCCACGUUCAGAAUGGCUUGGACUCAAGUGUGAAUGUACAGGGUUCGGUUUUGUAAUAUUUUUCCAGCAGAUUUUUAUACAGUAUCACUUAAUUUGGGAGAGGUUACUAUGGAGAAAAUUAAUGCAUACUUUUGUCACAAUUUGCCUUUUUUGGUGGGUGUGUGUGUGUUUUUUUCCCUUUUUUUUUCUUUGCUUCAAUACCUCUGCCACUUCGGAAAUUGUAACAGUUAAUUACUUUGUUGCUAAAAGGACAUUUUGUGUAGGGUCAGGUUAUUUUUCUAUGAGUUAAUGUGAAGCUGUAAAUGGAAAUCUUCCCGUAAGGUAUAACACGAUGAUGUCUGUGUAGGUCUGUGUCUCCCGGGCCCGUGCUGUGGCGGGCCUCCCCACUCAUGCUGUUACUAUACUGCGCACCAUUCGGACCUGUAGAGUAGAUGUGGGUUAGGACUGCCGAGUAUGCCCAGUGCAGUAGUUUUAUCACUAAAAGACGGACUUGUUGAUUGAGUCCCAUAGUAGUUUCAGUGUUAGAUACAGUUUUUUCCACCAUACAUCUGUGCAUUUUCUCUUUAGGUGCCUGAAUGUUUAAGAAAUUUGUGUGCAUAGUUACUCAGUUUUUACGAACUGUUGUACCCCGUUAAUGCAUAUUGCUUUGUGACUCCAGUGUAUCGUACCUGUACUGACCAAACCUAAAUAAAAAUUUUUAUUGUAACUCCUGCA